GGGAAGGUUGCUCAGUGGUAGAGCGUUUGCCUUGCAUGCAUGAGGUCCUGGGUUCAAUUCCUCAGCACCA
rnacentral:tRNA from 1 species